rnacentral:misc_RNA from 1 species
UGGAUGGGGCAUCACUUAAGAC